rnacentral:rRNA from 1 species
CGGGAGGCAGCAGUAGGGAAUCUUCCGCAAUGGACGAAAGUCUGACGGAGCAAUGCCGCGUGAGUGAAGAAGGUUUUCGGAUCGUAAAACUCUGUUGUUAGAGAAGAACAAGGAUGAGAGUAACUGCUCAUCCCCUGACGGUAUCUAACCAGAAAGCCACGGCUAACUACGUGCCAGCAGCCGCGGUAAUAA